rnacentral:rRNA from 1 species
GCCGCAUUAACAAACCUCAUGACCCGCUUUUGCGCGGGUGAGGACAGCUGGCUAGCCAGAUGCAGCACCAGCAACCCCAGUACAUCUGAAGUUAGAGAUGGAAACGGGAAAUCAUGGCGCAACAACAAUAACAAACGUCGGAAUAAAGAAGACAGCACGAAGGGCACGACAGUAAAUGCCGAAUUCAAAAGCUCUCGGCCAGGUCAAAAGCCGCCCCCUAAAGGCACCAGGGAUGAACUGUCCAGCCUCAACAAAAUUCUGGACCAAGUAUGUCAGAUCCAUAGUACCCUUGAUAAACCU